rnacentral:lncRNA from 1 species
UCACAGUGGUUAGGAAAUCCCUUUGUCUAAAAGCCAUCAUUUCCUACUUGGUCUGAUUAGAAAAUUGUCAACAAUUGUACCUCCAAAACCACGACUUUGGGAUGUCCACGAGGCUCUUGUCACGUAGAAGGCCAUGACUGCUUACAUGUGACUUCCACUGAAGCAAGGCUUUGUUUAGCAACCCCUAGCUUACAAAGGGGACUUCAUGCACACAGGAGGUUGCAAUCCUGUCUACAUAGUGCAGGUCCUAGAAGAUCAGUCAGAGGCCAGCUGGCUGAAACCAGCAAAAGCCUACUCCACAGGGGCUGUGAAGGAAGAGGACAUUGCAUGGGACAGGCUCAAAGAUCUUUCAUGAUGUG